GUGGCCUGUCCUUCUCCUGCUCCACAUGCUCAGGUCCUGCAGGGCAGUCUGGCAGGACACACGGCACUGUGCCUCUCAGAGUAGGAGGCCGUCUUAAGAAAGGGGCUGGCUUGAAUGGGCAUGAGAGGACAAU